UACGGAGGAUGCAAGCGUUAUCCGGAUUUAUUGGGCGUAAAGCGUCCGUAGGUGGUUAAUCAAGUCUAUUGUCAAAGCCUGGGGCUUAACCCUGGAGAGGCGGUGGAAACUGGUUGACUUGAGUGCGGUAGGGGCAGAGGGAAUUCCCAGUGUAGCGGUGAAAUGCGUAGAUAUUGGGAAGAACACCGGUGGCGAAAGCGCUCUGCUAGGCCUGCACUGACACUGAGGGACGAAAGCUAGGGGAGCGAAAGGG
rnacentral:rRNA from 1 species